rnacentral:rRNA from 1 species
UACGUAGGGUGCGAGCGUUAAUCGGAAUUACUGGGCGUAAAGCGCGUGUAGGCGGCCUCGCAGGUCGGAUGUGAAAUCCCUCGGCUCAACCGAGGACUUGCAUUCGAAACCGCGCGGCUCGAGUCCCGGAGAGGGUGGUGGAAUUCUCGGCGUAGAGGUGAAAUUCGUAGAGUUCGGGAGGAACACCGGUGGCGAAAGCGGCCACCUGGACGGAGACUGACGCUGAGACGCGAAAGCGUGGGGAGCAAACAGG